UACGGAGGGUACAAGCAUUAAUCGGAAUUACUGGGCGUAAAGGGCGCGUAGGCGGAUUUGUAAGUCGGAUGUGAAAUUCCAAAACUCAAUUUUGGAGCUGCAUUUGAAACUACAAAUCUCGAGGUAUGGCGGAGAAAGUGGAAUUCCUGGUGUAGCGGUGAAAUGCGUAGAUAUCAGGAGGAACACCUGUGGCGAAAGCGGCUCACUGGACCACAACUGACGCUGAGGCGCGAAAGCUAGGGGAGCAAACAGG
rnacentral:rRNA from 1 species